rnacentral:rRNA from 1 species
AUUGAACGCUGGCGGCAUGCUUUACACAUGCAAGUCGAACGGCAGCGCGGGCUUCGGCCUGGCGGCGCGUGGCGAACGGGUGAGUAAUGCAUCGGAACGUGCCCAGUAGUGGGGGAUAGCCCGUCGAAAGCCGGAUUAAUACCACAUACGACCUGAGGGUGCAAGCGGGGGACCGAAAGGCCUCGCGCUCUUGGGGGGGCCGAUGUCGGAUUAGCUAGUUGGUGGGGUAAAGGCUUACCUAGGCGACGAUCCGUAGCUGGUCUGAGAGGACGACCAGCCACACGGGGACUGAGACACGGCCCAGACUCCUGAGGGAGGCAGCAGUGGGGAAUUUUGGACAAUGGGGGCAACCCUGAUCCAGCCAGGCCGCGUGUGGGAAGAAGGCCUUCGGGUUGUAAACCGCUUUUGUUCGGGAAGAAAUCCUCUGGGCUAAUACCCCGGGGGGAUGACGGUACCGGAAGAAUAAGCACCGGCUAACUACGUG